UACGUAGGGUGCGAGCGUUAAUCGGAAUUACUGGGCGUAAAGCGUGCGCAGGCGGUUCGUUGUGUCGGUGGUGAAAGCCCCGGGCUUAACCUGGGAAUGGCCAUGGAAACUGGCGAACUGGAGUGUGGCAGAGGGGGGUGGAAUUCCGCGUGUAGCGGUGAAAUGCGUAGAUAUCUGGAGGAAUACCGGUGGCGAAGGCGGCAUCCUGGACCGACAUUGACGCUGAGGAGCGAAAGCCAGGGGAGCAAACGGG
rnacentral:rRNA from 1 species